UACAGAGGCUACAAGCGUUGUUCGGAAUUAUUGGGCGUAAAGAGCGUGUAGGCGGCCAGGUAGGUCUGCUGUGAAAACUCGAGGCUUAACCUCGAGAUGUCGGCGGAAACCAUCUGGCUAGAGUCCGGAAGAGGAGAGUGGAAUUCCUGGUGUAGCGGUGAAAUGCGCAGAUAUCAGGAAGAACACCCGUGGCGAAGGCGGCUCUCUGGGACGGUACUGACGCUGAGACGCGAAAGCGUGGGGAGCGAACAGG
rnacentral:rRNA from 1 species